rnacentral:lncRNA from 1 species
UGGUUUCACAACAAACUAUAAUAUUUUAGUUAAGUUAGGCUCUUCAUUUUUAUAUAGUCAUAUCUGAAUGAUGCUAUCCUCGUGGUUGCACAAGAAAGCAAUAUAUCCAAAAUACUGUAAGCAUUAAAUAUGCACUAAGAUAACCCCACAUCAAUCUCCAUAGUAAGCUUUGUGUUGCAAAACAAACUCACUAUAAUUCUUGACAUGAUAUUGGCUUAGC